rnacentral:tRNA from 1 species
GGAAAGCUGGCUCAAUUGGUACAGCAGCGGGUUGCUAACCCGCCGUCAUCGAAAGGUGGCUUACAGGUUCUUCCUGUGCUUUCCGCCA